rnacentral:rRNA from 1 species
GGGACACGUGGUAUCCUGUCUGAAUAUGGGGGGACCAUCCUCCAAGGCUAAAUACUCCUGACUGACCGAUAGUGAACCAGUACCGUGAGGGAAAGGCGAAAAGAACCCCGGCGAGGGGAGUGAAAAAGAACCUGAAACCGUGUACGUACAAGCAGUGGGAGCACAGAGCAAUCUGUGUGACUGCGUACCUUUUGUAUAAUGGGUCAGCGACUUAUAUUCUGUAGCAAGGUUAACCGAAUAGGGGAGCCGAAGGGAAACCGAGUCUUAACUGGGCGUUAAGUUGCAGGGUAUAGACCCGAAACCCGGUGAUCUAGCCAUGGGCAGGUUGAAGGUUGGGUAACACUAACUGGAGGACCGAACCGACUAAUGUUGAAAAAUUAGCGGAUGACUUGUGGCUGGGGGUGAAAGGCCAAUCAAACCGGGAGAUAGCUGGUUCUCCCCGAAAGCUAUUUAGGUAGCGCCUCGUGAAUUCAUCUCCGGGGGUAGAGCACUGUUUCGGCAAGGGGGUCAUCCCGACUUACCAACCCGAUGCAAACUGCGAAUACCGGAGAAUGUUAUCACGGGAGACACACGGCGGGUGCUAACGUCCGUCGUGAAGAGGGAAACAACCCAGACCGCCAGCUAAGGUCCCAAAGUCAUGGUUAAGUGGGAAACGAUGUGGGAAGGCCCAGACAGCCAGGAUGUUGGCUUAGAAGCAGCCAUCAUUUAAAGAAAGCGUAAUAGCUCACUGGUCGAGUCGGCCUGCGCGGAAGAUGUAACGGGGCUAAACCAUGCACCGAAGCUGCGGCAGCGACGCUGAUGCGUUGUUGGGUAGGGGAGCGUUCUGUAAGCCUGCGAAGGUGUGCUGUGAGGCAUGCUGGAGGUAUCAGAAGUGCGAAUGCUGACAUAAGUAACGAUAAAGCGGGUGAAAAGCCCGCUCGCCGGAAGACCAAGGGUUCCUGUCCAACGUUAAUCGGGGCAGGGUGAGUCGACCCCUAAGGCGAGGCCGAAAGGCGUAGUCGAUGGGAAACAGGUUAAUAUUCCUGUACUUGGUGUUACUGCGAAGGGGGGACGGAGAAGGCUAUGUUGGCCGGGCGACGGUUGUCCCGGUUUAAGCGUGUAGGCUGGU